rnacentral:rRNA from 1 species
UAGGGAAUCUUCGGCAAUGGGGGGAACCCUGACCGAGCAACGCCGCGUGAGUGAAGAAGGUUUUCGGAUCGUAAAGCUCUGUUGUUAAGGAAGAACGAGUGUGAGAAUGGAAAGUUCAUACUGUGACGGUACUUAACCAGAAAGGGACGGCUAACUACGUGCCAGCAGCCGCGGUAAUACGUAGGUCCCGAGCGUUGUCCGGAUUUAUUGGGCGUAAAGCGAGCGCAGGCGGUUAGAUAAGUCUGAAGUUAAAGGCAGUGGCUCAACCAUUGUAGGCUUUGGAAACUGUUUAACUUGAGUGCAGAAGGGGAGAGUGGAAUUCCAUGUGUAGCGGUGAAAUGCGUAGAUAUAUGGAGGAACCCCGGUGGCGAAAGCGGCUCUCUGGUCUGUAACUGACGCUGAGGCUUGAAAGCGUGGGGAGCGAACAGG